rnacentral:snRNA from 1 species
AUCGCUUCUCAGCCUUUUAGCUAAGAUCAAGUGUAGUAUCUGUUCUUAUCAGUUUAAUAUCUGAUACGUCUUCUAUCUGAGGACAAUAUAUUAAAUGGAUUUUUGGAACUAGGAGUUGGAAUAGGAGCUUGCUCCGUCCACUCCACGCAUUGACCUGGUAUUGCAGUACCUCCAGGAAGAGUGCACCCCGU